UUGGUGCCUCGCCGCGGCGACCGUCGGAGGUGGUCUUCCUCCCCCUCCUUACCUCUACCUCCCCUCUCAUCACCUGAGGAUGGCCUAGGGCCGAAAAUUUGUGCACACUUCUCUUCGUCGUCUUCUCCUCAUCAUCGUCGACUACAGCAUUGUCUUCAACAUCAUCUGGAGCCGUGGAUGCCAUCAUCAAGGUGGACCCAAACACGAUCAUCCUUCCGGCCGGAGUCGGUCUCAUCGAGCUGACGGAGCUGCGGAGCUCACGGGAGACUGUGAAACGCCUGUCAGUCUCCGCCGCCGACCUCCCGCGACUGAGGGGGCAGCUGCCGGAGGGCCUCAGACUCCUCCAUGUCAGAGGGCCGGAGGUGACGGGGCCGAGGUGGCCGGAAUGGAACCUGUGGG